rnacentral:rRNA from 1 species
CCGCUGGGGAGUACGUCGCAAGAUAAAAUCAAGGAAUGACGGGGGCCUGCACAAGCGUGGAGCAUGUGGUUUAAUUCGAAGCAACGCGCAGAACCUUACCAGCGUUUGACAUCCUAAUCGCGGUUUUCAGAGAUGAUUACCUUCAGUUCGGCUGGAUUAGUGACAGGUGCUGCAUGGCUGUCGUCAGCUCGUGUCGUGAGAUGUUGGGUUAAGUCCCGCAACGAGCGCAACCCUCGUCCUUAGUUGCCAUCAUUCAGUUGGGCACUCUAAGGAAACUGCCGGUGAUAAGCCGGAGGAAGGUGGGGAUGACGUCAAGUCCUCAUGGCCCUUACACGCUGGGCUACACACGUGCUACAAUGGCGGUGACAGUGGGCAGCAACCGGGCGACCGGUAGCUAAUCUCCAAAAACCGUCUCAGUUCGGAUUGUUCUCUGCAACUCGAGAGCAUGAAGGCGGAAUCGCUAGUAAUCGCGGAUCAGCAUGCCGCGGUGAAUACGUUCCCAGGCCUUGUACACACCGCCCGUCACACCAUGGGAUUUGGAUUCACCCGAAGGCAGUGCGCUAACCGCAAGGAGGCAGCUGACCACGGUGGGUUUAGAGACUGGGGUGAAGUCGUAACAAGGUAACCGUAAAGACUGGAGAUCUG